rnacentral:misc_RNA from 1 species
UCCGGUUUGUCACCGGCAGUCUGGCGUGAGUCCCCAACUUAAUGCUGGCAACACGCCACGGGGGUUGCGCUCGUUGCGGGACUUAACCCAACAUCUCACGACACGAGCUGACGACAACCAUGCACCACCUGUCACUUUGUCCCCCGAAGGGGAAAGCCCUAUCUCUAGGGUUGUCAAAGGAUGUCAAGACCUGGUAAGGUUCUUCGCGUUGCUUCGAAUUAAACCACAUGCUCCACUGCUUGUGCGGGCCCCCGUCAAUUCCUUUGAGUUUUAAUCUUGCGACCGUACUCCCCAGGCGGAGAGCUUAACGAGUUAUCUGCGCCACUGAUGUGCAUGCACACCAACGGCUAGCUCUCAUAGUUUACGGCGUGGACUAC